UAUGUAGCAGAGCGUGAAUUUGAAAUUCCAGAGAACCGCGUGGCAUGAAUUGACGUGACGACGGGAAUGAUGGACAAGGUGUAUUUGAGCACAAAUAACACCAUAUUUUGUUUAUGAUUAUUGACCCAGGGUAUAUUCGUGAUGUACGUAUCAACAAAACUACUAAGGGAUGGUACUUGCUUCAGCGUUCUGGUGACCAUUUUCACUUAAAUAUUCUGGACGCACCACCUGUGUAGACUUUGCCAAAAAUGCCAAAAGAACCACGUAAACUAAUGGUGGAUAUGGUCGAUAGGAUGCAUUCUAUUAGAAAAUUCCAUAAUUUGCUGUAUUAUAGGGUAUUUCUGUGAUGCAUAUCAACAAACUACAAAGAUGACAGAGACAAAUUUCUACUGCAAGAUGUAUGUAUCAAAGAAUCAAUGGCACUGUAAAUGCAGAAAAGGAAAGUUCGCUGAAAUUAAUAGUUGGAACAUCUUGAGUUGGAAAGAGUAAUCCCGGUGAAAGAACAAAAAUAAUUAUUGUAUCAAGUCACUGGAUUAAGACAACUUGCAUCAUUCUGAUAUAUUGAUGAUAUUGUACAGAAGAUAUGAUCGAAUUACGAUAAGAUGACGAGGCAGAACUAUUAUAAUUCAUUUUAUAAAACAUUUUAACUUUUAGUUAAUUUAAUUGAUCACGCCUAAUAGUUUGCAAGACAAUUAAGAGAAGAUAUACUGGAGUUUAGUUGAACAUCUUGCUGAAUAUUGAGACGGAAUGGCAGUGAAAGAAAAUAUUACAGCGAUAAGUUAUUGCAGCAUCAAGACAGCUUGCAUCAUUGUAAAAUAUUGAACUACAAUUGAUUUUUUCAUAUAUUUUAUGUACAUUUAAUAUAAAUUCAUAUUAUAUUAUGAUUUUGAUUGUAAAGUUUUUAUAAUAAAAAAUAUAAGCAAUGUG